AUUGAACGCUGGCGGCAGGCCUAACACAUGCAAGUCGAGCGGAUGAAGGGAGCUUGCUCCUGGAUUCAGCGGCGGACGGGUGAGUAAUGCCUAGGAAUCUGCCUGGUAGUGGGGGAUAACGUCCGGAAACGGGCGCUAAUACCGCAUACGUCCUGAGGGAGAAAGUGGGGGAGCUUCGGACCGCACGCUAUCAGAUGAGCCUAGGUGGGAUUAGCUAGUUGGUGGGGUAAAGGCCUACCAAGGCGACGAUCCGUAACUGGUCUGAGAGGCUGAUCAGCCACACUGGAACUGAGACACGGUCCAGACUCCUACGGGAGGCAGCAGUGGGGAAUGUUGGACAAUGGGCGAAAGCCUGAUCCAACCAUGCCGCGUGUGUGAAGAAGGUCUUCGGAUUGUAAAGCACUUUAAGUUGGGAGGAAGGGCAGUAAGUUAAUACCUUGCUGUUUUGACGUUACCAACAGAAUAAGCACCGGCUAACUUCGUG
rnacentral:rRNA from 1 species